GUAUUGCAUAUAUCAUAGAAAUUGAUGUUCAUCGUGCUAGGGCAUAGCAAUCCACCUAUACCGUCAUUGCCGUUUCAAUUACCAUCUUAUGCGCUAGAUAAAGCAUUUCAUUCAGCGAAAAAAUCUUGGUGUAUCCGGUAUUGUCGUAUUUGAUAGGGGGAUUAGGGGCAUAAUGGACACCCUAAGCAAAUGAGUAUGUUAGGCCUGUAUAACAGACAAAAACUUAACAUAUUAUCAGUUGGCUUGCAACUUUAACUUGUUUCCUACGUAUUUCAAUCAUUUACAGCAGGUAGAAUGUCAUUAUUGUCAAGAAAUAAUGAAUUGUAAACCGUGUGUUUUUCAGGCCUGGCAGGAAAGGGCCCAUAUAGCCGAGGCGGUAAACGCACGGGUAUUCAGCAUGACCAUGCUGAGGGUGACGGGUUCGAUUCCCGGUCGGUCCAGGAUCUUUUCGUAAAGGAAAUUUCCUUGACUUCCUUGGGCAUAGAGUAUUUUCGUGCCUGCCACACGAUAUACACAUGCAAAAUGGUCAUUGGCAGAGGAAGCUCUCAGUUAAAAACUGUGGAAGUGCUCAUAGAACACUAAGCUGAGAAGCAGGCUUUGUCCGAGUGCGGACGUUACGCCAAGAAGAGGAGAGGAGGAAAGGUACGGGGCGAAAUGGACACCCAUCGGGGUAUAAUGGACACCCCUGCAUAUUUUAUGCUGUAUCUUUGAUAAUAUCGACCAGUUAAGUAAUUUGCCUACGGAGAUCAAUACCACAGAUAUGAUACUCCAUCUUAGACGAGUUCACAUAACAUCAAAGUUAAUUAAAUAAAUUUUAGGCUAAAAUAAUCGGAUUGUUUUUUUCCAAACUCUCUAAAACGCCUAACAGUAUGCAACUCGCGUACAUUCAUUCAUAAUUGCCAGUGUUCAUUUCGCCCCGAAUCGACUACAACAUUGAAAUUGCUAUUUUGAGAAAAUUCUGAUCAAAAAUGUAAUACUUUAUCCAUUGCUAAAUUGGCGUAUACAUGUAGAUAAGCUAACAAUUCACUUGUUUUUAUGGUGAACACACUCAAACACUCGUAAUACCUUAUUUGCUGCUGCUUCGAAAUUAUAAGAAAUCCACCAUAUGAAACCAGAAAUCCACCAUUGAAACAUAUUUCAAUUUCAAUGAUAUUUUGUUUAUUUUGAAGGAAUAUAAAUGGUACUUUUGAAAAAUAGAACAAUGACGUGUUCCUUUACAAUUAUGCAUUAAAAGUUUUACAGAAAAGUCAACGGUUUCAGCAAAAACAGGGGUGUCCAUUUCGCCACGGGUGUCCAUUAUGCCCCUAAUCCCCCUAUUUGCAUUUUAAUUGGAAGUAACAAUGGUUUUAAUUUAAUUUUUGGUGAAUUAAUGAUGAAUUAAUUAUGGUGAUGUUUUUAUUAUGUGAUAACAUACUCUAUUAAAAGAAAUGAUGUUCUACGUAAUACCCGCGAUCAAACUGAUUUCGAAAUAAAAAAAAGAACAAAAAAUAUCUAAAAUAAAAAGGUCGAAGCGCGUGUUUUUAUGCAAAAAGCAGCACUAUAAUAAAAACUUCUUCCUUUGUACACAACACAAGUACAUUUUUCGAUACUUUGAAGCGUUGAUAACAAAAGUAUUCUUCUAGAACCUCGGAAUCCAACACUUCAGAAGUAAUUUAAUAUAAAAUUCAAAUGUCAAUUUCUUGAUUUUGCUUUGGCUAACCAAGCCAUGUGGGAAAUAACACUGUUGAAAUUGCUUUGACAUCCAUGUGCACAACAGAACAUGUGCUCGAUGAACAAAUUGAGAUUUGAAUUAUGAAAAGAAAUCCACGUACUCCGGUGAGACUCGAACUCACGACUCCCAAUUCGCUAGACGGGCGCUUCUAUUCCUUCAAGCUACGGAGUCACUCGACUAUCUCCGUCGCCAGCAGGCCUAGAACUGCAACCUAAAAAUCUCGGUUGCUUGAUGGCGCGCGUGUUGAAAGGUUAAUAAACCUAUCUGAUAACCUUUUUAUGAGAAAGGAUGAGUGAUAUCUCUCUUAAAAAUUUAUAAGUUAACCCACGAGCAGUCGCGCCAUCGGCAACCCUCGGCGACCACCACGCUCACGCAGUGUAUCGCAACCGUGUUUUUUUCAUGAUGCGUGUACUCAGUACACGGCGCCACUGCUUCCGGGUUAAGAAGGCUGAUAGCGUAUAAAUUUACAAGCAAAAUUCGUCGCACUUAUUAGUUAUGUGCGAUCCUAUAUGGUUCACGGUACAUAAAAGAUUUAUUCAAUAUUUGGUUGUGAUCUCUUCUCGCUACAGUCAUUAAAGACAUUGAAGUCAUCAAUACUAACUUUAAACCUUCUAAUAAGAUCACAUGACUUUAUCUCAAACACUGUCACAAUAUCACUCAUUGCAAUCGACAAACCCAACUAAAGUAAAUAUAAAAUAAUAUGCAACAUACAAUUAGUUCUUCAUC